rfam:Ascaris suum AG00093, whole genome shotgun sequence.
GUGGUUUCGUCUACCCUGUAGUACCGAGCUGUGUUUGAGUGAUUAUGCAUACACGAUCGGUUGCCGGGUGAAUGACGCUGCCC